AGCAGCCGCCGCGGGAACACGUAGGGGGCAAGCGUUAUCCGGAAUUAUUGGGCGUAAAGAGUACGUAGGUGGCUAUAUAAGCGCAUGGUGAAAGGCAGAGGCUUAACCACUGUUAGCCUUGCGAACUGUAUAGCUUGAGUGCAGGAGAGGGAAGCGGAAUUCCUAGUGUAGCGGUGAAAUGCGUAGAUAUUGGGAGGAACACCAGUGGCGAAGGCGGCUUUCUGGACUGUAACUGACGCUGAGGCUCGAAAGCGUGGGUAGCGAACGGGAUUAGAUACCCCUGUAGUCCCUGUCUCUUAUACA
rnacentral:rRNA from 1 species